CUAUCGGUGUUCGACUAAGCCAUGCGAGUCAAAUGUUCUUCGUGAACAUGGCGUACUGCUCAGUAACACGUGGAUAACCUGCCCUUUAGGUCUGGCAUAACCCCGGGAAACUGGGGAUAAUUCGGGAUAGAUAUAGACGCUGGAAUGCCCUGUAAUCCAAAGCUAUUGUGCCUAAGGAUGGGUCUGCGGUCUAUCAGGUUGUAGUGGGUGUAAUGUACCUACUAGCCUACGACGGAUACGGGUUGUGGGAGCAAGAGCCCGGAGAUGGAUUCUGAGACACGAAUCCAGGCCCUACGGGGUGCAGCAGGCGCGAAAACUUUACAAUGCUGGCAACAGCGAUAAGGGAACCUCGAGUGCCAGGUUACAAAUCUGGCUGUCGAGAUGCCUAAAAAGCAUUUCAUAGCAAGGGCCGGGCAAGACCGGUGCCAGCCGCCGCGGUAACACCGGCGGCUCGAGUGGUAACCGUUAUUAUUGGGUCUAAAGGGUCUGUAGCCGGCCGGAUAAGUCUCUUGAGAAAUCUGGCAGCUUAACUGUCAGGCUUUCAGGAGAUACUGUCUGGCUCGAGGCCGGGAGAGGUGAGAGGUACUUCAGGGGUAGGGGUGAAAUCUUGUAAUCCUUGAAGGACCACCAGUGGCGAAGGCGUCUCACCAGAACGGACCUGACGGCAAGGGACGAAAGCUAGGGGCACGAACCGGAUUAGAUACCCGGGUAGUCCUAGCCGUAAACGAUACUCGCUAGGUGUCGGCCACGGUGCGACCGUUGUCGGUGCCGUAGGGAAGCCGUGAAGCGAGCCACCUGGGAAGUACGGCCGCAAGGCUGAAACUUAAAGGAAUUGGCGGGGGAGCACCACAACGGGUGGAGCUUGCGGUUUAAUUGGAUUCAACGCCGGG
rnacentral:rRNA from 1 species